rnacentral:rRNA from 1 species
UACGUAGGGGGCAAGCGUUGUCCGGAUUUAUUGGGCGUAAAGAGCGUGUAGGCGGCCUGAAAGGUCAGCUGUGAAAACUCGAGGCUCAACCUCGAGACGUCGGUUGAAACCAUCUGGCUAGAGUCCGGAAGAGGAGUGUGGAAUUCCCGGUGUAGCGGUGAAAUGCGCAGAUAUGUGGAGGAAUACCGAUGGCGAAGGCAGCCCCCUGGGAUAACACUGACGCUCAUGCACGAAAGCGUGGGGAGCAAACAGG